GUUGGGCACUCUAAGGUGACUGCCGGUGACAAACCGGAGGAAGGUGGGGAUGACGUCAAAUCAUCAUGCCCCUUAUGACCUGGGCUACACACGUGCUACAAUGGACGGUACAAAGAGCUGCAAGACCGCGAGGUGGAGCUAAUCUCAUAAAACCGUUCUCAGUUCGGAUUGUAGGCUGCAACUCGCCUACAUGAAGCUGGAAUCGCUAGUAAUCGCGGAUCAGCAUGCCGCGGUGAAUACGUUCCCGGGCCUUGUACACACCGCCCGUCACACCAUGGGAGUGGGUUGCAAAAGAAGUAGGUAGCUUAACCUUCGGGAGGGCGCUUACCACUUUGUGAUUCAUGACUGGGGUGAAGUCGUAACA
rnacentral:ncRNA from 1 species